CCUUUUGAUAUAUAUCCACGUCUGUGAGCAAGAGCAGCAGAUGACUGCCUUCUUUGAGACAUUGGGAUAUGUGCAUGGGAUGUAUACACAGUAGAGUCUGGGGUGUCCAACAGCAGCCUACCUGAAUAUUUACUGGACCCGAUACGCGGUUGUCAUGGGAAAUACCAAUAGCGUCAUGACAUCAGGUGCGACAGCAGAUGCUGCCAUCUGCGUGACCCAUCCUGCGACACAUUCAGAAGCAAUGUUUAUAAGCAUUAAGUGGCCAAAUGCCAUGCUAAGCUGCAGGAAAGCAUAGGUAGGAUGGAAAAGCCGCAAAGUGGUCUAUAAGCAGUUUACAUCUUCAGUCAGUCGGCUGCAGUCAGGUGGCCUUAACCUGCAGGGGACGGUCAAAAACACAAAACAUACUUACGCAUGCUCAUGAACGACACCUCUGGGAAACAACAAAUAAAAACCUGGCGUCAUUCAUC